rnacentral:tRNA from 1 species
GCCUGGGUGGCUCAGUUGGUUAAGCGUCUGACUUCGGUUCAGGUCAUGAUCUCACAGUUUGUGAGUUCGAGUCCCGCAUCGGGCU